UACGUAGGGUGCGAGCGUUGUCCGGAAUUAUUGGGCGUAAAGGGCUCGUAGGCGGUUUGUCGCGUCGGGAGUGAAAUCCACUGGCUUAACUCUGGGCUUGCUUUCGAUACGGGCAGACUAGAGGUAUGCAGGGGAGAACGGAAUUCCUGGUGUAGCGGUGAAAUGCGCAGAUAUCAGGAGGAACACCGGUGGCGAAGGCGGGUCUCUGGGCCGAUACUGACGCUGAGGAGCGAAAGCGUGGGGAGCGAACAGG
rnacentral:rRNA from 1 species